AGAUAUCAUCACAACAAACAAAUAAACAAAAAAACAAAUAGACGUUGGAUGAUCACAGGGGCAUUAGUCUAUACAUUCAUUUCUAUACUUACAUACAAUUUAGCAGCGAAAGUGUAUGGGUGAUGAAAAGUGUCAAUUAAAAUGAGUG